GCCAGACUCCUACGGGAGGCAGCAGUGGGGAAUAUUGCACAAUGGGGGGAACCCUGAUGCAGCGACGCCGCGUGGGUGAAGGAGCACCUCGGUGCGUAAAGCCCUCUCGGCAGGGAAGAAAAGCGAACAGGUUCGCCUGGACGGUACCUGACUAAGAAGCCCCGGCUAACUACGUGCCAGCAGCCGCGGGCAUACGUAGGAUCCGAGCAUUAUCCGGGGUGACUGGGUGUAAAGAGUUGCGUAGGUGGCAUAGUAAGUAGCUAGUGAAAUCUGGUGGCUCAACCAUUCAGACUAUUAGCUAAGCUGCUAAGCUCGAGACCGUUAGGGGUAACUGGAAUUUCUAGUGUAGGAGUGAAAUCCGUAGAUAUUAGAAGGAACACCGAUAGCGUAGGCAGGUUACUGGGACGGUUCUGACACUAAGGCACGAAAGCGUAGGGAGCAAACGGGAUUAGAUACCCCUGUAUA
rnacentral:rRNA from 1 species